AGUGAACGCUGGCGGUAGGCCUAACACAUGCAAGUCGAACGGCAGCACAGUAAGAGCUUGCUCUUACGGGUGGCGAGUCGCGGACGGGUGCGGAAUACAUCGGAAUCUACUUUUUCGUGGGGGAUAACGUAGGGAAACUUACGCUAAUACCGCAUACGACCUACGGGUGAAAGCAGGGGAUCUUCCGACCUUGCGCGAUUGAAUGAGCCGAUGUCGGAUUAGCUAGUUGGCGGGGUAAAGGCCCACCAAGGCGACGAUCCGUAGCUGGUCUGAGAGGAUGAUAAGCCACAUGGGAAGUGGGACAACCCCCGGACUACUACGGGACGCAGCAGUGGGGAAUAUGGGACAAUGGGCGCAAGUCUGAUCCAGCCAUAGCGCGUGGGUGAAGAAGGCCCUCGGGUUGUAAAGCCCUUUUGUUGGGAAAGAAAAGCAGCAGGCUAAUACCCCGCUGUUCUGACGGUACCCAAAGAAUAAGCACCGGCUAACUUCGUG
rnacentral:rRNA from 1 species